rnacentral:tRNA from 1 species
ACCUGGGUGGCUCAGUCGGUUAAAGCAUCUGACUUCGGCUCAGGUCAUGAUCUCACGGUUCGUGGGUUCGAGCCCCCCGUCAGGCA